rnacentral:tRNA from 1 species
GCCAGUGUGGUGUAGUGGUUUGAGUGCUGGACUAUGACUUUGGAGACCACGGUUCAAAUCCCUACUAGAGCA